UAGCCCUGCCUAGGAGCAAACAAAGCAAGGCUAGCCCAACCCCGUAACCAAGGCAAAGCUAAAGCCAAUUUGGCUUACAUUAAUCGAAUGCAAAGCUAAAGCCAAUUUGGUUUACAUUAAUUGAAUGUAAAGCUAAAGCCAAUUUGGUUGAAGUCAAUUGAAUGUAAAACUAAAGCCAAUUUGGUUUACAUUAAUUGAAUGCAAAGCUAAAGCCAAUUUGGCUUACAUUAAUUGAAUGUAAAGCUAAAGCCAAUUUGGAUGAAGUCAAUCGAAUGUAAAGCUAAAGCCAAUUUGG